AUGGGGGAGAUGCUAACUAUUCACAUAGAUGUAAAAAUUAUUUGGCACUUGAUAGGUCUCAAUUUUGAAUCCGAUUUCUAGUGUUUUUCUGCCUUUAACCUUUACGAAGACGCAAUGCAAGCUGCGCUUCACCUGAUCCCGUUACUUAGUAUGGUAUUAAUAAUGUUCCGUGACGCUUAAAAAAACAGUUGGUUGAUAAUAUCACCUCUUGUUGUACAAAAGUAUAUCAUUUCAACUUAAAUUAGUUUCUUCUUCUAUAAACAAUACCACCACCUGUUUUAUUAACUUAACCAUACAUAACCAACAAAAAGAUUUUACUACCCCUUUUUUGUGCCUUUCUGGACAUGGGCCACCCACACCUUUUGCUCUUUCGGCCCAAGGCUGCGCACUAGGGUCUAACAGGCCCAAAGGCUCAAUAACUGGGUGUACAAACCAGUUUUAGAAGUUCUUACUACCCCUUUUUGUUGCUUUUUGGAUAUGGGCCACCCACACAUUUUGCUCUUUUGGCCCAACUCAAUGCACUAGGAUCUAACAGGCCCAAUAGGGUAUGUAAAAUCAUCAUCAUCAUACUCAGUAAAUCCUAUCAUAGCAAAACUAAGGUAGAGUCUAAGGAGGGUAAGAUGUAGACAAUCUUACCUCUAUCCCAUAGGAAUAGAGAGGCUGCUUCUAGGUGACCCCUGGCUCAAUAGUAGUUUUGUAUCAAGCCUUGGACAUAAGGCACAUAACACUUAAUAACUGGUACAAAAUCCGAUUAGUGCAUGUACCCCCUUGUCUUUCGGCUAUCAACGCCACCACAUGAUGCAUGAUUAACCGUCCCUCGUUUUUAACGUUAUUUUCACGAAAUUAGUAAAAUAACGUUAAAAUUAGUGCACUUUCACUUUUGCCCCCGAGGCCCACACAUAUAUACAUUAUAUGCACAUACCGUAAUGUAAAACAACUUGCAAAAUAACUUGGUGUGCAACUUUGCUGUACAUAAAUAGAAACCCAACCCUUAUAUUAUCAUCAUAAUGUUGCAAAAUAAUCAAAAUAUAACUAAAUACGAGAUUAGCAUAAAAGCCUCAUUUUGAAAUGUCAUUGUAAUUCCUUAAAGUGUCUUUAUUUAUUAUACAUAAACUUGAUUUUCUUAUACUUUCUUUUAAUCUUAUUUCUAAAUUACUGGAUUUUAUUUUAAUCGUAUUGUGUCACGACCCCCGACCCACCCUGGACGGAAUCGGGAGUCGCGAGCAGUCCAGUGGUACCGGUGAUUAGUUUUGAAAAACAUUGCAGCGGAAAUUUCAUCAGGACCGUGAGUUAAGAAAAAUAUCAGAGUUUAGAAAACACCGGAUUUUAUUUUAAAUAGAUGGAAUAAUUCCAUGUUUUACAAAGGUAGCUUUUAAUACGGGAUAAACCCAAAAACAAUAUUUCUUAAGUUGAUUAAAUUAAUAAAAUAAGCCACUUCUUGAAGUCUUUUAGUGCCGGAUCCAAUCCUUACUCCAAUCUACUGUAAUUACCUGAAACGUGUUUUAAAAAGGUUUUGUCAGCGGGAAAUACUGAGUGAAUCAUUCAGUUUACUAAAAUGACUCGUUUAUUAUAAUUUACAGUAUUAAGAGUUUUUACAUAUGUUUCUGAUAUCUACCAACUACCCACAGUAUUUGUCACUCGACCGGAUCUGUGACUGUGGUCAUAUCACCAUUGGCUGCCCCAAUGAAUGACGUAUAUCACUUAAUUUUAGGUUCGCCCACCUAAUGUGAUAAAAAAAGUAGUAAUGUGCACAAUACCCCACAUACUGGCUGUAAUUUGGUGAUUACAUAAACUUAAUCACUGUAAUUAUAAUUCUGAAAAUAAUUUGGAGUAUUGUAAAACAUUUGAGAAAAAGAGAAUAACUCACAUUAUAAACAUGCAGAUUCAUACGGCCAAAGUUUAGUCUACAGAUAAGCCUUGAUAUAUUGCAGAUUUAUACAGGCAGAGCUUAGCCUAUUGAUUUAGCCUUGUAACCUAGUGCACACGAACUAGGUAGGUAACUUAAUACAACAAUUACGAUAACUCACGAGAUCAAAUUCUCACAACGAACGACAAAGUGCGAUACUUAAACAUCCAUCGAUUUAACGACGAACGACAAAGUAUAACUGUAACGCCCUGCUUUUUCAAACAUCCUACAUUUAGAAACCUUACGUGAAAUUCUAUCUUUGGAAAUCUUGUGUUCUUAUAACCAUUCUUUCAUCGUAAUCGUUGUAAAAUACGGAACUUGCUUCGUAAAUAAAACUUGUACAUUACACUUUUUACCUAGUUAAAUCAUGUUUUAUUUCAUAUUUCACCUUGUUACAAGUUAGGGGAAACAUUGUUGCAUAUUAUUACACAACUUAAUUAACAAAAUUACUCAUUAUAAUGUUU
rnacentral:lncRNA from 1 species